rnacentral:lncRNA from 1 species
UUUGUUCAUAAGGGACACAGAGAGAGAGGCAGAGACAGAAGCAGGCUUCCUUCAGGGAGCCCGAUGUGGGAUCACAUCCUGAGCUGAAGGCAUACUGUCAACCACUGAGCCACCCAGGCAUCCCUUGUUUUUGUUUCAAUCGGAUAAUUUUAUAUUUUCAUAUUUUUAGAUUAGUAAAAGGUUUUACCUAGUGUUUUCUUACAUAUAUUCUCUGUACAUGUAGCUGUGACUCCUUUCUUAUUACUAAUAUUAAUUUGAUUUCUCUCUUGAUUAAAUUUGACAUGUGUUCAUCAUUAUAUUGGUCUUUUCAAAUUAGAAGACCUUGGUUUUAAUGAUAACUUUUAACUUUCUGUUAGAUAUUUGUAUUCUUCUUUAAAAAAGAUGUGUUUAUUUAAUUGAAAGAGAGAGAUGGUGGGAGGAGUGGUUGAGGGAGAGAUUCUUUCAUGCUGACUCCCCACUGAGUGCAGAGCCAGCUGCGGGGCUCCAUCUUAUGACCUAUCAAGAUCAGGACCUGAACCAAAGUCAUGGGUUGGACACUCAACCAACUGAGCCACCCAGACACCCCAGAUAUUUGCAUUCUUGUAUUAAUCUUGAUUUAAUCAGCAUUUGUAUUGUCUUUAUUGUUUAGUUUUCAAUAUGUUCAGUAGAAUGUGUAAUUAAUUUAUUCUCAGUCUACUUUUUAAUGUGCACAUUUAGUAUAAAACAUUUUCUUUGGAGUACUGUUUAAUGGUUACACAGAUUUUAAUUUGCAGAGUUUUCACUAAAGUACAUUUCAAAGUAGAUUGUAAUUUUAGUUUUCUUCAUCCUAAAAAAGGUCUUAGAGAAGAGAUCCCAAAUGAACAUCUCUUUUGCAUAUAUAUUUUUUAGUUUCAAAAUUCAUUUUUUUAGCCAGUGAAUGUAGACUAUAUGAUUUUUGCUUUUGGAGAUUUGUUAAGAUUUCCUUUGUGGUCAAAUCCAAGGUUAAUGUUUAUAAAUAUUUCAUGGAUGACUAAAAGAAUGUCUAUUUUUUGUUAACAAGAAUAAAGCUCUAAAUACAUUUGAUAUAUUUUAUUGUAUUCAUGUUACUUGAUUCCUCUAAAUUCGAUUUCUUUUUUUCUUUUGGCUUCUUGAUGUAUUUGUGAGUUAAGUAUAUUAAAAAGGUUCCUUGUGGAAUUUUUGUGUGUGUAUAUUUAUAUCAGUUUUUGCUUUAUGUGUUUGAAGUCAUAUUGUUAAGCACACAUAAGUUCAGGACUGUUCCAUUUUCCGAGUAAAUUUUUAUCAAUUCAAAAUAAACCUUUUUGCCUUUAAGUUAAUUUCAUUUUAAAUUACUUCUUGUUAGACAUUAAUAUUCCUAUACCUACCUUUGUUUAUUUAGCAUCUGCCUCUAUCAGUGUUUUGCAUAUGUGAAGAUUGGAUUAACUGAUGGUGCUGGUUACCAUCAUUUAGUAACAUAAUUGCUUAUUUUUCCUUUAAUUUAUGUGGACUUUUUAUCUUUUGGCCUAGUCAUCAUUACUUGUAUUUUCCUUGUGCCCCCCACUCCCACUUUGUCCACUUGGACAGCUCCUUAUUUCUUAAGAACUGUGUCUCAGCUCCUUAUUUCUUAAGAAUUGAAUUUGGGGCUCUUUGUUAUUAUGCAAAGAGCAAGAAAGCAUUUCUACUGGCUUUUCUCUUGUGACCAGAUAGAACUAACCAGGGUCUUCCCCUAAUUUUGCUGCUUGAUUUGUCCUAGAUUAUUGAGGUGGGUACUUGUCUUCCCAGAAUAAGAACUUUUCUCUCUAUCCAUUUAGAGUUUUUAAUACAUCCUUGGGAGUGUGGGGUGGUUAUACUAGAGUUAAUGAUGUGAUUUGAGCUCUUCAGAAAGAAUGUGACAGAGAACCACAACAUAUAGGGAAGUAAAAGGUGGAAAUAAUCUUGAAUAUGUAGGAGUAGAAACACAUUAUUAUGAUAAAUGUUAUAGAUAUGUCCAUGUAACUUCGCUUAUUGAGGUAAAUUAGAAAAAUCUGAAAAAAAGUUCCUAAAAUAACUUCUGGAUAGCACUCUUAUAGUCUUCUACUGCUCCUGGCAUACAGUUCACUGGCUACUUAACAUCUCCUAAUGCUACGGAGUCAUAUAUUACUUCAUCCAAAGCUGUUGGAGUUAGGGGAGCCAUCCAACCUGUCUGAUGAAAACAAAAACAAAAACAAAAACAAAAAAAAAGAAAGAAAGAAAAAGAAAAUCCUCAGCUUGACUCCUGAGACUAAAGUUGAUGUUCUGGUGGAGCCCUGGGAAAUCAGAAAAUAGGAGGAAACUGGAUAAUAAAAUUGAGUAAGACUUCCCGUGGCUCAUUAAAAUGGCUCUGAAGGUGACACUAUCCAUCUUUGCUCCUUUAAAAGCCUAAGGAGAUCAUUAUGGAAAUAGCAAUUAAUUUUCAAGACUGAAGGAAAAAAUGUGUACAAAUUAUAAAUUUUGUAUCAUAGCAUUUUCAAAAUUCAUUCUAUGAAGCUCUACUCAGAGGAGACCACUCAUAAAAAAUAAAAAUAAAAAAAAAACAGAUUUCUAGAGUUAAUGUGCAUUAGCAUUUUUAAAGAGUGCCAAGUUCUGAAGCAAAAAUCGUCAUCUAACUUAGAGUUGUUAUAUUUUCCAAACUUUUAAAAUUCUAAUAUCUUUUAUGAAACAUCUGUUACUAUUUGGCAGUUCAGAAAGCCAUUUACUACAUUACAUAAUUUUCAUGGACAU